AACCAACAGGGAUUGCCUUAGUAGCGGCGAGUGAAGCGGCAAAAGCUCAAAUUUGAAAUCUGGCACCUUCGGUGUCCGAGUUGUAAUUUGAAGAUUGUAACCUUGGGGUUGGCUCUUGUCUAUGUUUCUUGGAACAGGACGUCACAGAGGGUGAGAAUCCCGUGCGAUGAGAUGCCCAAUCCUAUGUAAGGUGCUUUCGAAGAGUCGAGUUGUUUGGGAAUGCAGCUCUAAGUGGGUGGUAAAUUCCAUCUAAAGCUAAAUAUUGGCGAGAGACCGAUAGCGAACAAGUACAGUGAUGGAAAGAUGAAAAGAACUUUGAAAAGAGAGUGAAAAAGUACGUGAAAUUGUUGAAAGGGAAGGGUUUGAGAUCAGACUCGAUAUUUUGUGAGCCUUGCCUUUGUGGCGGGGUGACCCGCAGCUUAUCGGGCCAGCAUCGGUUUGGGCGGUAGGAUAAUGGCGUAGGAAUGUGACUUUGCUUCGGUGAAGUGUUAUAGCCUGCGUUGAUGCUGC
rnacentral:rRNA from 1 species